GCAUGCCUUCCAAAGGAGUUCUAGAAACUUCUCAGAGGACAGAGGAAAGAAACCCACCACCGUCUAAUGAGAAAGCACUGAAGUGCCUGCUUAGAAGAAAAGCUAUUUGCAUAACAGCGGAAACCCGCUGGAGGAGCCAUUCAGUGUGGAGCAUAGAUUAGCCUUCCAGAGGAGCUAAGGAGGACCAUGAGGUUGAAAACUACAUGGAGGAUGAAAACGGCACCACUGAGAGCACAGGAUGCUAGAAGAAACCUUGGGCACCAUUGGCAGCUCCCCAUGGCCCCUGACAAACCAGCCAAGCUCUUCUGCUAAUGAGGACAAACAAAUCUCUUUCUAGCUAACCGACUACACAUGGACUUUUGUGAAAUGCAGCCCAGUGCAUUCGUGACUGAUUCAGUGGAUAAUACCUUUCCAUGAGCAUGCCAACUUCAUGGACCUGGAAUUUUUUGUCUGCCAUGCACAGUACUGAAUCCUCCCACAACAGUGCCUGGUGUGUGGGAGGGGCUUAUCUGGGCCGACCCAUUGAAUGGAUGGAUGGACAUAUACUCAAUCUAAUUUCCACCUUUAUCUCCUUUGUUUCCUUUUUUUUUAAAAAAA